UGUGUAGGCGGUGCUCUAAGUCUGGUGUGAAAUCUCCCGGCUCAACUGGGAGGGUGCGCUAGAAACUGGAAUGCUAGAGGAUGGGAGAGGUAAGCGGAAUUCCUGGUGUAGCGGUGAAAUGCGUAGAUAUCAGGAGGAACACCUGUGGUGUAGACAGCUUACUGGACCAUUUCUGACGCUGAGACACGAAAGCGUGGGUAGCAAACAGGAUUAGAUACCCUGGUAGUCCACGCCCUAAACGAUGCAUACUUGGUGUGAGCGAUUCAUUUCGUUCGUGCCGGAGCUAACGCGUUAAGUAUGCCGCCUGGGGAGUACGGUCGCAAGGCUGAA
rnacentral:rRNA from 1 species